rnacentral:lncRNA from 1 species
CUUUUAGAACCUAUCAGCCCUGAAUGGGGAUGGAAGAGUAACAAGAGACUGUUUCUAUACAUUAUGUCCCACCACUGCUUAUGUGCCUGCUUUGUCUGACUUUCUGUGGAUUCCAGCAGCGAGUGGCUUGUGACAUGCUUAUUUAAAGGGCUUCAUCACUCCCAUGUUUAAUACAGAGAUUUCUCUAGUGAUAAAAAGGGAUCUCUGGAUGGAGCAAAGCAGGGAAGACUAA